rnacentral:lncRNA from 1 species
GUGGGUGUCACUAGCUUUUUCAUUUGUUUUCAUUUCUCCACCAGACACUUCUAUUUAAACUACUUGGAAAGAUAUCUCAAUAAGGUGCCUCUGUUGCACUCCAGGAGAUAAGUAUGAGAAUCCAUCUGCCCUGUUCUCCACACUCAGCCAGCAACCUUGGUGGAUCAGGCGGAGACCACAGAAGAAAAGCUGUUGUUAGGUGUUUGUCAGUUUGGAAAGUGCGACAGACGGUUGCCAAGCACUGUCUGAGUGACACUGUCCAUCAAAGCAAAUGGUCACACUCAUUCGGAGCUCCUUGAAGACACAAAUGAGUACCAUACAGGAACAACAGUCUAAUGAUCAUGUGAGUAAAAUGGCUUUUUUAAAAUCU